rnacentral:lncRNA from 1 species
AUGUUGAAGAACAAUAAAAACAAAAGACAUUAUCUCUGUCUGUCUGUCUGUCUCUCUGUCUGUGUCUCUGUCUGUCUGUCUGUCUGUCUCUCUGUCUGUCUGUGUCUCUCUCUGUCUGUCUGUCUGUCUGUCUGUCUGUCUGUGUCUCUGUCUGUGUCUCUGUCUGUGUCUCUGUCUGUCUGUCUGUCUCUCUGUCUGUCUGUCUCUCUGUCUGUGUCUCUGUCUGUCUGUCUGUCUGUCUCUCUGUCUGUGUCUCUGUCUGUCUCUCUGUCUGUCUGUCUGUCUCUCUGUCUGUCUGUCUGUCUGUCUGUCUGUCUGUGUCUCUGUCUGUCUCUCUGUCUGUGUCUCUGUCUGUCUGUCUGUCUCUCUGUCUGUCUGUCUCUCUGUCUGUGUCUCUGUCUGUCUGUGUCUCUGUCUGUCUGUGUCUCUGUCUGUCUGUCUGUCUGUCUGUCUGUCUCUCUGUCUGUGUCUCUGUCUGUGUCUCUGUCUGUCUGUCUGUCUGUCUGUCUGUCUGUCUGUCUGUCUGUCUGUCUGUCUGUCUGUCUGUCUGUCUGUCUGUCUGUCUGUCUGUCUGUCUGUCUGUGUCUCUGUCUGUCUGUCUGUCUCUCUGUCUGUCGUCUGUCUGUCUGUCUGUCUGUCUGUCUGUCUGUCUGUCUGUCUGUCUGUCUGUCUGUCUGUCUCUCUGUCUGUGUCUCUGUCUGUCUGUCUGUGUCUCUGUCUGUCUGUCUGUCUGUCUCCGUCUGUCUCUCUGUCUGUCUGUCUGUCUGUCUGUCGUCUGUCUGUCUGUCUGUCUGUCUGUGUCUCUGUCUGUCUCUCUGUCUGUCUGUCUCUCUGUCUCUCUGUCUGUGUCUCUGUCUGUCUGUCUGUCUCUCUGUCUGUGUCUCUGUCUGUCUGUCUGUCUGUCUCCGUCUGUCUCUCUCUCUGUCUCUCUGUCUCUCUGUCUCUCUGUCUGUCUGUCUGUCUGUCUGUCUGUCUGUCUGUCUGUCUGUCUGUCUGUCUGUCUGUCUGUCUGUCUCCAUCUCUCUGUCUCUCUUUCUCUCUACAUCUGUCUGUCUGUCUGUCUGUCUGUCUCUCUGUCUGUCUCUCUGUCUGUGUCUCUGUCUGUGUCUCUGUCUGUCUGUCUCUCUCUCUCUCUCUCUCUCUCUCUCUCUGUCUGUCUGUCUGUCUGUCUGUCUGUCUGUCUGUCUGUCUGUCUGUCUGUCUGUCUGUCUGUCUGUCUGUCUGUCUGUCUGUCUGUCUGUCUGUCUGUCUGUCUCUCUCUCUCUCUCUCUCUCUCUCUCUGUCUGUCUGUCUCUCUCUCUCUCUGUCUAUCUGUCUGUCUGUCUCUUUCUCUCUACAUCUCUCUGUCUAUGUCUCUCUUUCUCUCUCCGUCUCUCUGUCUGUCUGUCUCUCCGUCUCUCUGUCUGUCUCUCUUUCUCUCUCCGUCUCUCUGUCUGUCUUUCUUUCUCUCUCCGUCUCUCUGUCUGUCUCUCUCCGUCUCUCUGUCUGUCUCUCUGUCUAUGUCUGUCUCUCUUUCUCUCUCCGUCUAUGUCUGUCUCUCUGUCUAUGUCGCUCUCUCUCUCCCUCUUCUUCUCUCUCAGUAAGCAGAGGUACAUGUUUGCCAACACAUGGAUUCAAAGGCGAGCUGACAAACCAACCAGGAAGUGUCAUAAAACACAAAGUCCUCCUCAAUAAUCCUCCACGUCCUCCCAGAGGACUUCCUGCAGACCUGCCCACCAGCGCCUGUUUCCUGAUCGACACCCUUCAUCAGAGCGGCACAUUUGUACGUAGCCCUAAGGUCCAGACGUUACCCACAUCAACAUAGGAAGAAACCUGUAUGGUACUUGUGCCUUGUGUUCAGCAUGGAUGACCAUGUAAUAACAUGAUAAUAUGACAUCCAUGGCAUGCUGUGUUCUGGGCAUAGAGUUGUAAUCACUUCCUUAAACUCUUCCUCUAGUGUUUUCUAACUCUACGGUUCCGUGUAUCUGCUGUGUGGUGUGGUUCAGGGUCUGAACCAGUACCUGAUGCCGUCGAAGCAGAGAGACUGUCGCAGGUUCACUCUGGUCAGCCGGAGCGUGGAGAUCCUGCGGGUGGAGAAGACUCGCUUUGACAAGCUGGUGGACAACACCACCAUGAAGAAGCUGGAGGCCCUGCAGAAAACCUACCCAAGGUGAGACUUAUGGAUACCAGUUCAGAUGGGCUGCCCUUACUGGUGCAAUUCAUAGAAAAGAUGGGGCACCAGAAACAACCACUAGCCCCUACCCUCUAGGUGUUUGUGUAGAUCUAAGACGACUCAGGACUAGAUAGGUGUAAGGCAAGCAAUCCACAGAGGGCAAGGUGAAACUUUCACUGUAUUGCUUAUACCUAUCUAAUCCUCUCAGGGAUAGGGAGAAUGUACGCAUUACUGUAAGUCGCUUUGGAAAAGAGCGUCUGCCGAAUGGCCUAUAUUAUUAUGACCGCUUUUGUGUUAUCUUCCUGUGUAGCGACGACGAGCUGUGCACUGUGUUCCUGGAACACAGCCGCUGGAAGGACUACAAACACAGUGUGAUACAGGACCUGUUCCCCGACCGGGUCGCCCCAAUCAGAAGCCCCAAAACCCAGAAGCAGCAGGUCCACUGUGGCCCCAGCCAGGCCCUUCAGCAGACCAGACACGUGGUCAACAGGCUGAAACAGACAAAGCAGAGGGUAGAGACAAACAAAAAAUAAUGAAAUAAAGGAAUAACUGUGUAGAUGAAUGAAUACAUAGACAUGGUUUUUGCUGCAUUUGUCAUUAUUUUCAUCCUUAUUCCUACCUUGCAACUAAAAACUAUUUCACGGCAUUUAGGUUAAAAUCAGGCAGAAAUCAAAUUAUCUGCACACCUUUUCUCAAGAAGAAUGGUUUUGAAGUAUAAUUUCUCAUGAGCGGGUCAUGAGAAAACAUACUUUAAACCCUUCUGCCCCUGCCUUUUGCUCUCUGUGAGUAGAAAGCUGAAGGAACUCGGUUGUCACUAGUUAACACAGCCACGGAGUGGAAAUUGGCUGUAUUGUAAAAAAAUAACAAAAAAUAAAGAAAACAAAAAUGUGUUUUAUUAUCUUAAUGUAAGGUUAGGUUUAGACAUAAGGUUAGCAGUGUGCUUAGGGUUAGGUGUAAAAACAGAUCUUAAGAAGAGAAAUUGUAGAAAUAGACAGAGGGUUUAGACAUACUUAUGGCUAUGUUCCUCUGCCCAGUUGUUGAUGAUGCAUGCUAGAUCUUACAAAGCCUGGAUAUUUUCUAAGUAUCAGCUUGCCACAUCAUGGACACAAUCCACUGCUCAGAUGUUGCAUAUAUCAACCAAUGGUUCCGUGCGACGUCGUCGACAGUGUCAUCCCCUGACAGAUUCCGAUAACAUAUGAUGUUACGACUGAGGAACU